rnacentral:rRNA from 1 species
GACGAACGCUGGCGGCGUGCUUAACACAUGCAAGUCACGGGGGUCCGCAAGGGCAACCGGCGAACGGGUGCGUAACACGUGAGCAACCUGCCUUUGUGUGGGGGAUAGCCGGCCCAACGGCCGGGUAAUACCGCAUACGUUCUUGUGGGGGAGUCCCCAUGAGAGGAAACCUCCGGGGCACAAAGAGGGGCUCGCGGCCUAUCAGCUAGUUGGCGAGGUAACGGCUCACCAAGGCGACGACGGGUAGCNGGUCUGAGAGGAUGGCCAGCCACAUUGGGACUGAGAGACGGCCCAGACUCCUACGGGAGGCAGCAGUGGGGAAUCUUGCGCAAUGGCCGAAAGGCUGACGCAGCGACGCCGCGUGUGGGAUGAAGCAUUUCGGUGUGUAAACCAUGUGCCCGGGACGAAACCNCCUUUUGAGGGUGUUGACGGUACCGGGUGAGGAAGCACCGG